CAGGUACGACAGGUAGCUAAAAUAAUACAUAUGGUGCUCCGUAUUAAAUGAAACGCGAUUUUCAGUUGAUCUUGCAAUCUCGCGCUGUUUAGACCUGUUUCUGUAUCGCAAAGUUGAUAGUCGUUUCUUUUUGCUGCUUUUUGAAAAUAAAAUCUUAAUUUAUUUUCUGUUGGAUAAAAAUAAUUGUUGUAGUGAUGUAAAUUAAACGCCCCAUUAUUAUUUUGUGUGUUUUCUUCGGGGAUUUUUUGUCGUUGAUGUUGUUGUUGGAAAAAAGAAAAACGGAUUUUACGGAUUAUAAACGCAUCGCAACAGAUUUGUGUGUCCAAUAAGUUCGAUAUUUUAAGGAAGUGGUCGUGUGCAACACUGAAUUUUUGUUAGUUUCUUUUUCAUUUAUUUUGUUGAUGUUACAAAACGACUUUUCAUAGUUCCCAGUGAAUUUUAUUACCAUAUCGGAGAUCGAACAAUUUUCACGCAUACACGGCAAGGAAUUUUUUCUGUACACGAACAAUUUAAGCGGUUUGGCUGGACACGACGCGCAAGAAAUAAUUGAAGCAGAUCGAUGUGAUGCGGAAAGUGGCACCGAAGGCCAAAUUGCAGUGACGGCCGUUAAGUCAACUGCCAAAGAAACGCCCGCUGAUCUCCACAAAAGUGGAAAAAAUCCACAGUGUACUGGAUGCAAAGCAUGGCAACAAGAGUACGACAAUCUGCAGAAGUUAUGCUUGCGGUUAACGAUUCGUAACGCUGACAUGGACUUAAAAUUUGAAGAUCUGCUGAAAGUUAAAUCUGGAAAAAAUCAGAUGUUACCAGAUUCAAGCGACACUGCGGCUACGGAUGACAUUUUCUCAGCGAGAGAGCUAAAAUUCUUGGAGUGCAUGCCCUUAGAUAAGACAUCCGACUCGACGUUUGUUCACCAUUGCAUCCAGUACGCGUACAAAGACAAUCCGCUCAUCCUGGUCCAAAGAUCAUUAAAGGGAACAGCUGAGGUCAUACAUAUUGCAGAAAAUGGGGAAAUCGGCGAGAUAAUUCCAGGCAAAGAUCCGAUGACACCGGGAAAGGUUGAACAAAUCAGAAAUUUGUUCAUUCAGCGUGUAUCUAAAUGUCAGCUUGAUGCUGUUUCUUAUUCUGAGCGCAUCAAGGAUGCAUACCUUAACCGACUAAUAGCAUCUGGUGUGCGAAACAUUGCUAAAAAGAAAGGAAGUUCGUGACUUCGAUAUUGUUGCUGAAAAAACUUGUUUGAAUACAAAUUGAAUUGUGUCUGAAAAUCUGUGGUUUUCCU